rnacentral:rRNA from 1 species
AGAGUUUGAUCCUGGCUCAGGAUGAACGCUGGCGGUAUGCCUUAUACAUGCAAGUCGUACGAGAGUUUUUAACUCAAGUGGCGGACGGGUGAGUAACACGUAAGAAUUUGCCUUUAGGAGGGGGAUAACAACUGGAAACGGUUGCUAAUACCCCAUAUGCUUUCGAGUGAAAUGGUUUUUCCGCCUAAAGAGAAGCUUGCGGCUGAUUAGCUUGUUGGUGAGGUAAUGGCUCACCAAGGCGACGAUCAGUAUCUGGUUUGAGAGGACGAUCAGACACACUGGAACUGAGACACGGUCCAGACUCCUACGGGAGGCAGCAGUAGGGAAUUUUCCGCAAUGGGCGAAAGCCUGACGGAGCAAUACCGCGUGAGGGAUGACGGCCUAUGGGUUGUAAACCUCUUUUUUCAGGGAGGAAUAAAUGACGUGUACCUAAGAAUA